rnacentral:lncRNA from 1 species
AGACCCUUUGCCUUGUGCUUGAUCUGACAGAUGUGAGUUGAUAAACUAAGGAUGUUGUCACUGGAGCUGGCUCACUCUUGGUCUCUAAUAUGGUAUUUACUUACGAUUGCUCAUGCUUCUCUCUGUAAAACUCUGUUGAAGACACAGAAGCCCACUUCUCACUUCUGAGAAAGAAAAAUGAAAUGAAGAUUAGAGUAUAUCUAGUUGGGGAAAGAGGACAACAUUUCUUCAGGAGCCAUUUUGUAUUUGUAAAGGAUUUCAUGGAAAGGCACAGAGAACUACCUAGAAUGAGAAGGCCGGAAGGAAUUGAGGGAGCAUCACCCCUCCCUCCAUGAUCAAAAAUCACAAAUCCGUCAAAGCAACAUACCUGGCUGUAUUUCUAUUCUAAGCCUGUAUCACAUCUCAGGGUAAAUAUAUUACCUGCUGUGUGAAGAAGGGCCUCCUGUUAUUUGUCCUACAUUUAAUUAUCUCAAUGUAUGUUAUUUUCAGCUU